rnacentral:rRNA from 1 species
UACGAGGGGGGCAAAUGUUGUUCGGAAUUACUGGGCGUAAAGGGCGCGUAGGCGGCCUGCUAAGUCGAACGUGAAAUCCCCGAGCUCAACUCGGGAACUGCGUCCGAUACUGACAGGCUUGAAUCCGGGAGAGGGAUGCGGAAUUCCAGGUGUAGCGGUGAAAUGCGCAGAUAUCAGGAGGAACACCGGUGGCGAAGGCGGGUCUCUGGGCCGAUACUGACGCUGAGGAGCGAAAGCGUGGGAGCGAACAGG